UGUCUUUUUGAGUUUUAUGAAAAGUCUAACCUGCCCACUGAAUUUUGAAUGGCCGCAGUACUCUAACUGUGCAAAGGUAGCAUAAUAAUUAGUCUCUUAAUUGGAGGCUGGAAUGAAUGGUUGGACGAAAUAUAAACUGUUUCAUAAAAAUUUAUUAUAGAACUUUAUUUUUUAGUAAAAAAGCUAAAAUUAAUUUAAAAGACGAGAAGACCCUAUAAAGCUUUAUAAAUUAAUGCAUGUAAGAGAGAAGAAACAAUUUAUUAUAUGUAUAACAUUUAUUUUAUUGGGGUGAUAUUAAAAUUUAAAAAACUUUUAAUAUUUAAAUUCAUUAAUGUAUGAAUUUAUGAUCCGUAAAUAACGAUUAAAAGAUCAAGUUACUUUAGGGAUAACAGCGUAAUUUUUUUGGAGAGUUCAUAUCGAUAAAAAAGAUUGCGACCUCGAUGUUGGAUUAAGGUAUAUUAUUAGGCGCAGCAGUUUAAAUAAUAAGUCUGUUCGACUUUUUAACC
rnacentral:rRNA from 1 species